UACAGAGGUCCCAAGCGUUGUUCGGAUUCACUGGGCGUAAAGGGUGCGUAGGUGGCCGGGUAAGUUUGAUGUGAAAUCUCCAAGCUCAACUUGGAAAUGGCAUUGAAUACUAUCCGGCUAGAGGGUCGGAGGGGAGACUGGAAUUCUCGGUGUAGCAGUGAAAUGCGUAGAUAUCGAGAGGAACACCAGUGGCGAAGGCGAGUCUCUGGACGACUCCUGACACUGAGGCACGAAAGCUAGGGGAGCAAACAGG
rnacentral:rRNA from 1 species